rnacentral:rRNA from 1 species
AACGGGUGAGUAACACGUGAGCAACCUACCCUCAACUUCGGGAUAAGCCUCGGAAACGGGGUCUAAUACCGGAUAUCACCAGCUUCCUCAUGGUUGUUGGUUGAAAGUUCUGGCGGUUGGGGAUGGGCUCGCGGCCUAUCAGCUUGUUGGUGGGGUAAUGGCCUACCAAGGCGUCGACGGGUAGCCGGCCUGAGAGGGCGACCGGCCACACUGGGACUGAGACACGGCCCAGACUCCUACGGGAGGCAGCAGUGGGGAAUAUUGCGCAAUGGACGAAAGUCUGACGCAGCAACGCCGCGUGAGGGAUGACGGCCUUCGGGUUGUAAACCUCUUUCAGCAGGGACGAAGCGAGAGUGACGGUACCUGCAGAAGAAGGACCGGCCAACUACGUGCCAGCAGCCGCGGUAAUACGUAGGGUCCGAGCGUUGUCCGGAAUUAUUGGGCGUAAAGGGCUCGUAGGCGGUUCGUCACGUCGGGAGUGAAAACUCGGAGCUCAACUCCGAGCCUGCUUCCGAUACGGGCAGACUAGAGGUAGGCAGGGGAGAGCGGAACUCCUGGUGUAGCGGUGGAAUGCGCAGAUAUCAGGAAGAACACCGGUGGCGAAGGCGGCUCUCUGGGCCUUACCUGACGCUGAGGAGCGAAAGCGUGGGUAGCGAACAGGAUUAGAUACCCUGGUAGUCCACGCCGUAAACGUUGGGCGCUAGGUGUGGGGGACAUUCCACGUCCUCCGUGCCGCAGCUAACGCAUUAAGCGCCCCGCCUGGGGAGUACGGCCGCAAGGCUAAAACUCAAAGGAAUUGACGGGGGCCCGCACAAGCGGCGGAGCAUGCGGAUUAAUUCGAUGCAACGCGAAGAACCUUACCUGGGUUUGACAUAUAGGGAAAUCCUCCAGAGAUGGGGGGUCCGUAAGGGUCCUAUACAGGUGGUGCAUGGCUGUCGUCAGCUCGUGUCGUGAGAUGUUGGGUUAAGUCCCGCAACGAGCGCAACCCUCGUCCUAUGUUGCCAGCACGUUAUGGUGGGGACUCAUAGGAGACUGCCGGGGUCAACUCGGAGGAAGGUGGGGAUGACGUCAAGUCAUCAUGCCCCUUAUGUCCAGGGCUUCACGCAUGCUACAAUGGCCGGUACAAAGGGCUGCGAAACCGUAAGGUGGAGCGAAUCCCAAAAAGCCGGUCUCAGUUCGGAUUGGGGUCUGCAACUCGACCCCAUGAAGUCGGAGUCGCUAGUAAUCGCAGAUCAGCAACGCUGCGGUGAAUACGUUCCCGGGCCUUGUACACACCGCCCGUCACGUCAUGAAAGUCGGCAA